rnacentral:lncRNA from 1 species
UUUCCAUGAAACUCUAAACCUUAUUUUAAAUAUUUUAAAUCUUUUCAGUAUACUAAUUAAUUUUUAAAAUUAUGUAUUUUUAUUUGUUUAUACAAAAAAUUAUAAAUAGAAUAUUAUGUUAUUUUGAGAAAUACUAAAUCGACAUUUAUGUAAUUUAUUUUGAGAAAUACUAAAAAAUAUUCUAUUUCAUGUAUAAAUAUAUAAAAUAUUAUAGAAGACCUUUAAUUUGUCACGUGUCGCGUUCUUAUUUUUAUUUUAUAGUCUAAGGAUGGUUUUCAUCCUAGCCUAUAUAUAUAAAUUUUGUUAAUUAGUCGUUAGUCAUAAUUCACAAAAAAUCAUCGUAAUUGAUUUCUUCGUUUCAAUAGUUAAUAUUUUAUUAAUCGUAUUGUUGAAUACAUUAAUUUAUUGUAUUUAUUAAUAACUCGACAUCUUAUCUUAAUUUUACUAUUGAAAAUGAUUACACUCGAUAAUAAUCUUGUUUGCGUAUGUGUAAUAGGAUGCAUGCACAAGCCCUGACAUUGGCGGUCCUUUCGGGGGCAGCAACUUACCAUUAUUACUGUGAGAAAGAGAAACGCGCGCAACCAAAGCCAAUUAUUCCCAACUGAAAAACCGACUUCAUUUUCGAGGAUUUUAUCUAUUUUCCCUUCUCGUAUUUGUACUGCGCAAUUCAGUUAUUUACCAAUUUCAGAGUAUUAGUAAUCUUCUUUUAUGACAACGUAUACUCUAUUACGAUAUUGCUCAAGUUGAUAUUUUUGGAUUAAUCUAUACUAUAUUUAAAAGUAUUAUUAAUUUGAAACAAAUUCUUAAUUAGUUAUAAUAUUGAAUAGUUUUUACAUAACCGCAUUCAUAAAAUCAAGAAGAUCAAAAAAUUAAAUUGCAGUCUUUUAUUUCGUAAGAGUUCAUUCAUAUUUUUAAAUUACAUUACUUAUUUACUUUCAAUAGUUUCUUUUAUGUUUCAUGGAUUGUUAUUAUGUUUGAUCCAUUUAUUUAUUAAAUAUUUUCAAUGCUUUCAAUUGUUCAGUGGAAGCAAUUUAAGCUUCAUCUGUUGAUCCUUUAGACUGUGAUAUCUUCAUCAGUCUGGUUCUUCUCAUCAACUGGCUCGUCUGUUGAGUUUUCUUCAUAGUUGGAUUAGGUUGGAUUUCAGCAGCCUUAAACUUUUUCACAAAAUUUCUCUAACUCAUUUCUUCUUAGGCUUAGGUUUCAGCAUACUGCAGUUUUAGCUGAGAACUUUCUGAUCCUUUAGUUAGGUUUUGAUCAUCAUCAGGAUUUGCAUCGUUGGAUUUGGGCAUUAAUUAAUCAAAAUAUAGAAUUUUUCAUCAGGAAGUUUAAUUAAUAUUUAACUUUUGAAUUUACAUGUGGCACAAUAUAAUUCGUUGACAAAUUUAAUUUUCUACAAUAAUGAUAAUAUUUUUAUAUAUGACAACCACUCUUCUCUCUCUCUCUAUCUUUCUCCCUGCAACGCGCCUCUGGCGCCUCCGCCGCGGCCUCCCGCCUCUGCCGCCCAGCCGCACUGCCCUCUCUCUCCACCGCUUCCCCCUUCUCCCAGAUCUAUCUUUGCCGCGACUCGCCUCUGCGUUGCUGUGCCUCGCCUCGCUGCGGCGCCUCCUCCUCCGUCAACGGCGUCGGCGAUAGAGACACCCAAUCCACCUGCAAAAUCGAGCAAACGACACCUGCAAAAUUCGAGCAAAAUCGAAUUGCUCCAUGUUGGCGGCUGUGGCGCCUCCUCCUCCGCGUCGCCGUGCCUCGCCUCGUUGGUUCAGUGUUCGACAAUUCAAUGCUUGACGGUUCAGUGCUCGACACUUAGUUGCUCGACGCUCGACACCUGCGCCUUGCUCGACAGUUCAGUGCUCGACGCUCGACACCUCCGCCUCGCUCGAUAGUUCAGUGCUCGACAGUUUAUGCUCGACACUCGACACUUGAGUGCUUGACGCUUCAGUGUUGAGCAAUGCGCGAAUAAUACAUAAGGGUAAAAAUGUCCUAAGUGGGUGUAAUUUGUCGUUUUGCAAAUAGUGGGUAUUUUUUAUGGUUUUUCUUUCAAAAAAUCCAUUUUGCCUCUAUUUGUCAUUUUUGUUAGUUUAUUUAUUUUUUACUUAAUGAAUUAUCAUUCUCUCCAAAUUUAAGGCAUGGUGGCAAAAUCCUAUAUUAAGAAACUUGAGUUUAUUAACUUGUUUUCUAUAAUUCGAC